rnacentral:lncRNA from 1 species
GUUGGUGUUCGACUACAGUCCCCCAAAUCGCCAGUCAGCUUGGGCGCUGUUGAGAGCUGUAGCUCUGAUCCCUCUGGGGAUGCAUCAUCUCCACUUCCUCCACUUUUUCCCCCUCCUGUAGCGCCGCAGGUAAUUCGCAAAAUCCGAGCAGAGCAGUUCUCAGAUGCCUCUGGAAACCUGAAGCUGUGGUGCCAGUUCUUCAAUAUUUUGAGUGACUCUAAGCUGACCUGGUACAAGGAUGAGGUGCCUGUGGCGGAUGUCAGAAGAAGGUCAGUGGCAUAGGGACGGCCCUUCUGGGUGGGAAGGGGGGUGGAUAAUGGUGGAAGAGAGAUCUUCUGUGGGACUAGAGGUGGCUUGGCCCUGACCCGGCUUCAGGGCUCUUCUUGACGUUUUGAUGACUCUCUUCCAGUGCUGGGGAUGAAGGGCAGGCAGCCCUGGCCAUCGUGCAGGUCUCCCAGAAGGACUGUGGGGUCUAUCAGUGCGCCAUCCAGAAUGAAUAUGGCACAGAUACCACUGACUUCCUGCUGAGUGCUGAAGUCUUGUCGGGAUUUAUCUUCAAAGAAGAAAUAGAAGGUAAAUUGUGCCCAGGGGACAGUGUGGUGAGUCUGUGCCCCUCCAGGUACCGUGGCCAAAUGCCGCAGCUGAGUCCCACAGGCUCUUGCAGGGGUGAAGCCCACCACCAAGAGGUCAGGAAGACCAAAAAGACAGGUUUCCCUCUCAUGCUGAAGUUAGAAAUCAGAAAGAGGAAAAUGCUUUUUGUUUGGGGCAGAGCUAUAUCCUUCUGUCAUUCUUAAAUCUCUCUCUCUCUGCUUCUCUGUGAAUGACUUCCUUCAUCCUGACUCAUCCUAGCAAGGUUCCCUUUGUAAUGCACCUCUUAAUCAGAAGUUCCUUCCUCAGUUGUCUCUCUUCCCCCAGACUCUUUCCGCAGUAGUGCUCCAAGGGUUUGAUGGGGAGGCAUUCUGCUUAUCUGGUCUUGGGUCCCUUGGAUUUACCACCUGAUUUCAUCAGCCGUUGUCCUUUCUUUCCUGGUUCUCCUUUAUCUCCCCUGAGAGUUGGCCGCCUGAUCUCCAGGCAUCCCAGGACUUAGGCUUGAGGUGAUGUCAAGGACAGAACAAGUGGUUCUCCAGAUGUUUCUGGACUGCAGCUCCCAAGGUUCUUCACCUUGAACUGUGCUGGCUAGGACUGAUGCACAUUUUGAAACAUCUAGAGGGCUGCCUGUUCCUUGCUCAGGCUCAAUAGUGAGGACUUCCUCCCCAGCUCCAAAGCUCACCACAAAGAGAGAGCUUCUUCUCCUUGAGACCAAAUCGCUUGCUUGCCUACUUGCCAUCAGAUGGACCGCCCUCUUGGAAACUCAGGCUCGUAGAUGUUAUAUCCAAGGGUAGCUCUUCAUGGAGCUAUCGUUAAGAGUUAUGCGACUACAUUUGCAAACACACAACCAAUCACAAAGAAGCAGUCCGAUUGCAAAUUACAGAAGGGGUGAAAAGCUCCUGUUGGAACAAUCAGAUAUUUCUCUGCAUUUAAGGCAUCCCCUCUUUUAAGGACAGGUGAACUGCAACAUUCAGUUCAGUCCUAGUAGACUUCCACCCCACUUUCUACCUCCAUCUUAAAAGCGCUUGUCCCCACCUGUGGUGCUCCUUGCCUGCCCUCUU